ensembl:lincRNA Gm14616 predicted gene 14616
AACGUGUGAUGAGGAGCACUCCUUCCUCCCUGGGAACCAGCACAGGGCAGCUGCACACACCAUACCCACAGCCCCGUUAGGUUGCGUGAAGCCUCAAGUCUGUGACAAGAUCUUGGAAGACAGAGAUCAGCCUUCAUCAUCUACCACCAUCAGGUACUGGGGGUGGGGACGGGGCUCAAGCUGACACCCUGAGAUGACUACCAGGAACUUUGAGGACGACACUGAGUGGCUACAACAGAGACCGUGUAGUUCACUAGGCCCAGAUGUUGACUCACAGGCCACAGGAAGAGCAAACAUUCGUCUCUACACUGUGG